UAAUACGAAGGGGGCUAGCGUUGUUCGGAAUUACUGGGCGUAAAGGGCGCGUAGGCGGCUUCGAUAGUCAGGCGUGAAAGGCCUGGGCUCAACCCAGGAACUGCGCUUGAUACUGUGAGGCUAGAGUGUGGGAGAGGAUGGUGGAAUUCCCAGUGUAGAGGUGAAAUUCGUAGAUAUUGGGAAGAACACCGGUGGCGAAGGCGACCAUCUGGACCACUACUGACGCUGAGGCGCGAAAGCGUGGGGAGCAAACAGGAUUAGAUACCCUGGUAGUCCACGCUGUAAACUAUGCGUGCUGGACGUUGGCCAGCCUAGCUGGUCGGUGUCGUAGCUAACGCGAUAAGCACGCCGCCUGGGGAGUACGGUCGCAAGAUUAAAACUCAAAGGAAUUGACGG
rnacentral:rRNA from 1 species